CCGGUUGCCUCAUGCAAUCUUCCCGGUUUCUCUCCAGUUUUAGCCAGUUACAGAUUUUUGUUUGUUAGAUUUUCACCGCGUGGCUUCAUUUUACUUACGUGGCAUAGUUAUUUCUAUUCUACGUGUCUUCAUAAACAACCCACACCGCUUAAGGCUGCGUCGGUUACAACUUACAGCAACGAAGCCAAAAGGGGAGUUGACAUGAACCGACAAAUCAGAUCCCCAUUGACGUGUCCUCUCUCUCCCUUCUCUUCCCACUCCGCGUGGGCUUCUCCAUGGCGUUCUUGCGGGCUCUCCGAGGUGAGCUCGGUCCUCUCUCCGAGGCGAGCAGCAGCCUGCGAGAAAUUCAGGGCUGGACGGGAUAGUGGCGCUGGCGGCCGUAUCGGUGGAUACUCGGAGGAGGAGGACGCCGGUUUGCCAUGUCGGCGAGCGGCAGGAGCAGCACGCCGGGAGGAGAGGUAUCGCGCCGAGAUCCCGGAGCCGGCCAUGUCAUGGUGGCGGCGCGCGCGGAUCUGGCCGCCGCGUGACCUCGGGAGGGAGUCGGGUAGCACCGACGCUGUUGACAUCGUCACAUCGAGACAGGACGGCGAGCAGGUAGAAGCGAUGGCGGUUCUUUCUUUCCCUUCCACGGGCGGCCUCGAGAGCGAUGGUGUGCUCUAACACGGCGGGGGCGACACACAAGAGCUUUCUGGCGACUCAGCAACGACGAGCUUGCUGAGCACGAGCAUGGUCGAUAUUCCGGCUACUACGGACACGGCCAGAUAAAAUCUAAUAGUUCACCGCCUUAGGCUUGACCACGAUACCCUUGCUGUAGACUGUCCGCAAUUGGAUUUGGAGGGCAUGAUAUGCCAGUCGAAGGCCAACGCCAAUUUCGUCAACUUGGACAGCAUAGCAUAACAGACAUCGCAGAAUUGGCCAUCUCACAGUUGGAGUUUCUCAAUGAGGAAGGAGCAUGUGAUGGCAUGUGGUGAGUACUCGUGGACACACUUGCAUAAGAGACUGGGCAGCUGGAUCCAUCUCGGCGCAGCUCAUGCUUAGUUCCAACGAGCCAUCCCUCCUGGCGUAUGUGCGCCUCAGCUGCUUCGGUCACAAAUGGCAAUGCAGACAACUUUGGUCAAAGAUGUCUGGCGGCGAGGCCAUCAAUGUAAGACCCUUGCGCGUGUCAUGGGCAUCUAGGAAGAAAAAGAUUCAGAAAUCUAUAUGAAUUUGAUUUCAUCAUCUUCUGAUUGUGAGGUACUAUACCCAACACACACUUUCAUGAUGCAUGUUUACUUAACACACUUAUUGCUGCAGAGCAUUGGUUAUCGUUUUAUUUCGGAUUUAUCUCUGAUUAUCAGAAUUCAUAAUCCUUUAAUUACCAGACCACUUUCUGUCGGUUCACUUAUUGUUCCUCUUUCUUAUCUUCUCCUAGAGGUACCAAUUGUAGCAGGUACGGUGUAGAUUUUUUCCUCUCAUCCUCAUUACCGUGCUUACUCGCACAAGUGCCUAAUUUCUACCAGAGUCAAAUUCAAACUUGCAUGAUGUGCUCCCCCACUUUUAGCGCUACAGAAUCUUUAGCUGUACAAAAUUGUUAUUGAAAAAAGGUAACAUUAGUGCAGCCGAGCGCCUGGUUCUUUGCAUUCACAAUGGGCAAAAAGUAACACCAGUGCAGCCGAGCACCUGUUCUCUGCAUUCGCACAAUAUUCAGUCUCAGCGAGUCAUUUUAGGCAAACAUGACACACACCGCAGAGGUGACUUAUUUAUAAGUUUAGCACAUUUCAUUCUCAGGUAUGUCGUGUGCGCUUUAGAAUAUGCAUGUUUCUACGAAAAUCCAUGUAGAAGUCCUUGGUUGCUAUAUUAUUCGCUGUUGACAUAUAUUUUUUCUUUUCCUUUGUCAAUAUUGCAGGAAACACAAGGACAUAUUAUGUGUCAAACAGUUGCAUCAAAUGUUUAUCGUGGCCGAUGCACAAAAUACGUAGAGACCUAUCAAAGAAAUCAUAGAAGCAACCGAUCCAGAUUCAGGCAAGGUCACACGCAGUAAGCAACAACAGCAAAAGUCAGGAAUCGGCCACUGCAUCGGUAAAAAGUACAACUUAUGGAAAAAGGAAAGCAACCAAUAAACUAUUCCUUCCAAAAAAAGGAACUUAACUUUAGAAUGACAUCAGCUUGAGUAAAUCCAUGGACUCCAGUCACUAGAAUAAUUUGUAUGGUCUCAUGGACCUAUGUGUUCUAUUUUCAGUAGCCUGUAAAAUUAAGUACUUAGCCAUCUACAUACAGCUACCUUAGUUAUCCUACUGUCUUUUGAAACCUGCCACUGUGAUAUACUUUCAGGGUGUUGUACUAUAUGAUGAAGUGCAUUAAUGCCUUAGGCAGUAAAUUAUUUUCCUAAGGAGCGGCACAGUUCAAGAUGUGUAAAUAUUGCAGUGGAAAGUUUUAGAUAAAAGGCUCA